rnacentral:rRNA from 1 species
AUUGGUAGUAUUAUUAGUUGUCGUAGUACCAGGUCAGUACCUGGUCAGUACUUGGAUGGGAAACUGCCUGUGAACACCGGGUGUUGUCAGCU